CGCGUGCACAAGCGGUCGAGCAUGUGGUUUAAUUCGAAGCAACGCGAAGAACCCCAAAACGCCUUCACUCCUAUACAACCCUAGAGAUAGGGCUUUCCCCUUCGGGGGACAGAGUGACAGGUGGUGCAUGGUUGUCGUCAGCUCGUGUCGUGAGAUGUUGGGUUAAGUCCCGCAACGAGCGCAACCCUUGAUCUUAGUUGCCAGCAUUCAGUUGGGCACUCUAAGAUGACUGCCGGUGACAAACCGGAGGAAGGUGGGGAUGACGUCAAAUCAUCAUGCCCCUUAUGACCUGGGCUACACACGUGCUACAAUGGACGGUACAAAGGGCUGCAAGACCGCGAGGUUUAGCCAAUCCCAUAAAACCGUUCUCAGUUCGGAUUGUAGAAUGCAACUCGCCUACAUGAAGACGAAAUCAAUAGUAAUCGCGGAUCAGCAUGCCGCGGUGAAUACGUUCCCGGGCA
rnacentral:rRNA from 2 species